AGUUCGAUCAUGGCUCAGAUUGAACGCUGGCGGGAUGCUUUACACAUGCAAGUCGAACGGCAGCACGGACUUCGGUCUGUGCGAGUGGCGAACGGGUGAGUAAUGUAUCGGAACGUGCCUAGUAGCGGGGAUAACUAGCGCGAAAGCGUAGCUAAUACCGCAUACGGGCCCUUCUCGGGGGAAAGCGGGGACCUUCUGGCCCGCACCAUUAGAGCGGGUCGAUAUCGGAUUAGCGAAGCUGGUACAAAAACGGCCACCAAGGAGCCGAUCCGUGGGCUGGCUGAGAGGACACCAGCCACACUGGGACUGAGACACGGCCCAGAUCUGCCGGAGGCAGUGGGGAAUUUCGGGACAAUGGGGAAACUCCUGAUCCAGCUGGUGCUCCGCGUGGGAAGAUGAAGGCCUGCCGUAGCACUUUGGCAGGAAAGAAUGGCAUGAUGACAUCUCGCAACUGAUUGCACUUCGCAGUAACAAGCACCGGCUAACUACGCCAGCAGGUGUAAUACGUAGGUGCGUUAAUCGGAAUUACUGGGCGUAAAAGCGUGCAGGCGGUUCGGAAAGAAAGAUGUGAAAUCCCAGAGCUUAACUUUGAAAUCCAUUUUAACUACUGAGCGAGGCAUGAGAGGGAGGUGGAAUUGGCGUGUAGCAGUGAAAUGCGUAGAGGAGGUAAAGGAGGAACACCGAUGGCGAAGGCAGCCUCCCGGGAUAACACCGACGCUCAUGCACGAAAGCGUGGAGCAAACAGGAUUAGAUACCUCUGGUAGUCCACGCCCUAAACGAUGCCAACCAGUUGUUGGGGCCUUCGGGCCUUGGUAGCGCAGCUAACGGGCGUGGUUGGACCGCCUGGGAGUACGGUCGCAAGAUUAAAACUCAAAGGAAUUGACGAACUCCACACAAGCGGAUGAGCGGGGAUUAAUUCGAUGCAACGCGAAAACCUUACCUACCCUUGACAUGUCUGGAAUCCCGAAGAGACGGGGAGUGCUCGCAAGAGAACCGGAACACAGGUGCUGUAUGGCUGUCGUCAGCUGCAGCCGUGAGAUGUUGGGUUAAGUCCCGCAACGAGCGCAACCCUUGUCAUUAGUUGCUACGAAAGGGCACUUCUAUCGAGACUGGUUGCAUGAAACCAGAGGAAGGUAAGAUGACGUCAAGUCCUCAUGGCCCUUAUGGGUAGGGCUUCACACGUCAUACAAUGGUCGGGACAGAGGGUCGCCAACCCGCGAGGGGGAGCCAAUCCCAGAAACCCGAUCGUAGUCCGGAUCGCAGUCUGCAACUCGGACUGCGUGAAGCGUCGGGAAAUCGCUAGUAAUCGCGGAUCAGCAUGUCGCGGUGAAUACGUUCCCGGGUCUUGUACACACCGCCCGUCACACCAUGGGAGUGGGCUUUACCAGAAGUAGUUAGCCCAACCGGGUAAGGAGGGCGAUUACCACGGUAGGAUUCAUGACUGGGGUGAAGUCGUAGCUCGCGCAG
rnacentral:rRNA from 1 species